CCACCUGCGCGACGCUCUCCGGAAGGACGAAGCCAUGCAUGCCCGCUCACCCGGGACGCGGCGGACGGCUCUCGACAACGGUUGCACCGGCCGCGGCGGUCCCUGCUAGCCGGACUGGGCUGGCAACCCGGCGCCAAGACCUCCGCGCAAGGGCGGGCGCCCGCGGGCCUAUUGGGCUA
rnacentral:rRNA from 1 species